rnacentral:rRNA from 1 species
AUUGAACGCUGGCGGUAUGCCUAACACAUGCAAGUCGAACGAGGUAGCAAUACCUAGUGGCGGACGGGUGAGGAAUACGUAGGGAUCUGCCUUUAAGUGGGGGAUAACCCGGGGAAACCCGGAUUAAUACCGCAUGAUCUCGCAAGAGCAAAGAGGGGGACCGCAAGGCCUCUCGCUUUUAGAGGAACCUACGUCGGAUUAGCUAGUUGGUGAGGUAAUGGCUCACCAAGGCGACGAUCCGUAACUGGUCUGAGAGGAUGAUCAGUCACACCGGAACUGAGACACGGUCCGGACUCCUACGGGAGGCAGCAGUGGGGAAUAUUGCGCAAUGGGCGAAAGCCUGACGCAGCGACGCCGCGUGGGUGAUGAAGGCCUUGGUCGUAAGCCUCGUCGCAGGGAGAAGUAAGACAUCGGUAGUAA